UCUUCCUACGGGGGGCAGCAGUGGGGAAUAUUGCACAAUGGGGGAAACCCUGAUGCAGCGACGCCGCGUGAGUGAAGAAGCGCCUCGGCGCGUAAAGCUCUGCCAGCAGGAACGAUAAUGACGGUACCUGAAGAAGAAGCCCCGGCUAACUACGUGCCAGCAGCCGCGGUAAUACGUAGGGGGCAAGCGUUAUCCGGAUUUACUGGGUGUAAAGGGAGCGUAGACGGCGGGGCAAGUCUGGAGUGAAAGGCCGGGGCCCA
rnacentral:rRNA from 1 species